UAUUAGAAAUUUUAUUUAUUUGUAUUAUUAAAAACUGAUGUAAUUGAUAUAAUAACUAAACAAUAACAUAUGACGUGUCAUGGGUAUCUCCUGCCAGCAUACAAAGGUCAAUUUUUAACAAUAGAAAUGGAUAAAACUUUUAACA
rfam:Gossypium arboreum cultivar AKA8401 contig_3976_5, whole genome shotgun sequence.